rnacentral:rRNA from 1 species
UCAACGGGAGGUACUAAGCCCUGCGAGUCAUUGUAGCAAUACAAGGCAGACGGCUCAGUAACGCGUAGUCAAUCUACCCUAUGGACGGGAAUAACCUCGGGAAACUGAGAAUAAUGCCCGAUAGAACAUUAUACCUGGAACGGUUUAUGUUUCAAAUGAUUUAUCGCCGUAGGAUGGGACUGCGGCCUAUCAGUUUGUUGGUGAGGUAAUGGCCCACCAAGACUAUUACAGGUACGGGCUCUGAGAGGAGUAGCCCGGAGAUGGGUACUGAGACACGGACCCAGGCCCUAUGGGGCGCAGCAGGCGAGAAAACUUUGCAAUGUGCGAAAGCACGACAAGGUUAAUCCGAGUGGUUUCUGCUAAAGAAACCUUUUGCUAGUCCUAGAAACACUAGUGAAUAAGGGGUGGGCAAGUUCUGGUGUCAGCCGCCGCGGUAAAACCAGCACCUCAAGUGGUCAGGAUGAUUAUUGGGCCUAAAGCAUCCGUAGCUCGUUUUGUAAGUUUUCGGUUAAAUCCAUACGCUCAACGUAUGGGCUGCCGGGAAUACUGCAUAACUAGGAAGUGGGAGAGGUAGACGGUACUCGGUAGGAAGGGGUAAAAUCCUUUGAUCUAUUGAUGACCACCUGUGGCGAAGGCGGUCUACCAGAACACGUUCGACGGUGAGGGAUGAAAGCUGGGGGAGCAAACCGGAUUAGAUACCCGGGUAGUCCCAGCUGUAAACUAUGCAAACUCAGUGAUGCAUUGGCUUGUGGCCAAUGCAGUGCUGCAGGGAAGCCGUUAAGUUUGCCGCCUGGGAAGUAUGUACGCAAGUAUGAAACUUAAAGGAAUUGGCGGGGGAGCACCACAAGGGGUGAAGCCUGCGGUUCAAUUGGAUUCAACGCCGGG